AUUAAACGCUGGCGGCAUGCCUUACACAUGCAAGUCGAACGGCAGCACGGGGCAACCUGGUGGCGAGUGGCGAACGGGUGAGUAAAGCAUCGGAACGUGCCCUGGAGUGGGGGAUAACGUAGCGAAAGUUACGCUAAUACCGCAUAUUCUGUGAGCAGGAAAGCAGGGGAUCGCAAGACCUUGCGCUCUGGGAGCGGCCGAUGUCGGAUUAGCUAGUUGGUGGGGUAAAGGCCUACCAAGGCGACGAUCCGUAGCGGGUCUGAGAGGAUGAUCCGCCACACUGGGACUGAGACACGGCCCAGACUCCUACGGGAGGCAGCAGUGGGGAAUUUUGGACAAUGGCGGAAGCCUGAUCCAGCCAUGCCGCGUGAGUGAAGAAGGCCUGGUGUAAG
rnacentral:rRNA from 1 species